UAGUCCACGCCGUAAACGAUGGUCACUAGCUGUUCGGACUUCGGUCUGAGUGGCUAAGAGAAAUUGAUAAGUGACCCACCUGGGGAGUACGUUCGCAAGAAUGAAACUCAAAGGAAUUGACGGGGGCCCGCACAAGCGGUGGAGCAUGUGGUUUAAUUCGAUGAUAUGCGAGGAACCUUACCAGGGCUUAAAUGUAAGUUGCAUUAGUUAGAGAUAGCUAUUUCUUCGGACCACUUACAAGGUGCUGCAUGGUUGUCGUCAGCUCGUGCCGUGAGGUGUCAGGUUAAGUCCUAUAACGAGCGCAACCCCUGUUGUUAGUUGCCAGCAUGUAAAGAUGGGAACUCUAACAAGACUGCCGGUGCAAACCGUGAGGAAGGUGGGGAUGACGUCAAAUCAUCACGGCCCUUACGUCCUGGGCUACACACGUGCUACAAUGGCAGGUACAGAGGGUUGCGAAGGGGUGACCUGGAGCUAAUCUCAGAAAGCCUGUCCCAGUUCGGAUUGG
rnacentral:rRNA from 1 species